UAGGGAAUCUUCGGCAAUGGGGGGAACCCUGACCGAGCAACGCCGCGUGAGUGAAGAAGGUUUUCGGAUCGUAAAGCUCUGUUGUUAAGGAAGAACGAGUGUGAGAAUGGAAAGUUCAUGCUGUGACGGUACUUAACCAGAAAGGGACGGCUAACUACGUGCCAGCAGCCGCGGUAAUACGUAGGUCCCGAGCGUUGUCCGGAUUUAUUGGGCGUAAAGCGAGCGCAGGCGGUUAGAAAAGUCUGAAGUGAAAGGCAGUGGCUCAACCAUUGUAGGCUUUGGAAACUGUUUAACUUGAGUGCAGAAGGGGAGAGUGGAAUUCCAUGUGUAGCGGUGAAAUGCGUAGAUAGAUGGAGGAACACCGGUGGCGAAAGCGGCUCUCUGGUCUGUAACUGACGCUGAGGCUCGAAAGCGUGGGGAGCGAACAGG
rnacentral:rRNA from 1 species